GCCAGGACGGUGCGAGCGGGGCAUGCGCACUGGGCCGGGCGUGCGCGGGGUGCGCGGGGGGUGCGCGGGCUCACAAUGCCGGCACACGUGCUGCAGGCGUGGGGAGCGGCCGAGCGGCGGCCGGCUGGACGGAGGGGGCGCGUCCGGAGCCCCCCGAGUCCCCCUGGCUCCCCCGGCGCCCCGAGACCGCCGCCGCUGCCUCAGUCACCCGGUGGCUUCCAGAAGAAGGUCGUCAGGGGCUGAACUCAACAAAAAUCCAGUGGAAGGCUUUUCAGCAGGUUUAAUAGAUGACAAUGAUCUUUACCGGUGGGAAGUCCUUAUCAUUGGUCCCCCUGACACACUUUAUGAAGGUGGUGUUUUUAAGGCUCAUCUCACUUUCCCAAAAGAUUAUCCCCUCCGGCCUCCUAAAAUGAAAUUCAUUACAGAGAUCUGGCACCCAAAUGUUGAUAAAAAUGGUGAUGUAUGCAUUUCCAUUCUUCAUGAGCCCGGGGAAGAUAAAUACGGUUAUGAAAAGCCAGAGGAACGCUGGCUCCCUAUUCACACUGUGGAAACCAUCAUGAUUAGUGUCAUUUCAAUGCUGGCAGACCCUAAUGGAGACUCACCUGCUAACGUUGAUGCUGCGAAAGAGUGGAGGGAAGACAGAAAUGGAGAAUUCAAAAGGAAAGUUGCCCGCUGUGUAAGAAAAAGCCAAGAGACAGCUUUCGAGUGACAUUUGUUCAACAGCUAUAACUUCAUUAUUUCAGGCUACAGGGACAAAGCUGGCAUGACAACACUCUGGAGAUGGAAGCUUGUCCAUGUGAGGAAAAGUCUCCAACUGAGAAACAUGGCACUGUUUUCCUGCACUCUACCCACCUAUUGCUGGACUUCUGUUGUAACAAGUUGGCGGACACUGGCUGGAGCUGGGCUGCAGUAGAACAAGCCAGUACCGUGCUGACAAGAGCCUAACAAGUGCCAACUUACAGGGGAUUGCGCAGUUUGAAUUCUCAUGAACUGUUUUAGCCUUCAGGAAGACUUGUAAAGACCUGUACAUAGCACAACAUGAUCCGGAUAAUAUAUAUACCAUUCAUGUACAUCCACCAAUACACCUUGUACCAAAUAAUGCUCUCUUGUAGUAGGACAAGAAUCGUGUAAAUUCUCAAAGAUUUUAGCAGGUUUUCUUUCCCUAUUCAUUGUUUCUUAUCAGUUUUAAAAGACUCCUUAAAGCAUGUCAGAUGAAAAACAAUUAGGAUUAAAAGUUUCCAUUUAAUUUCCUUUAAACCAUUGAGGCUUCAUUAAACUCUUUUCACUUACUAAACUUUUGUAUCUUCUUUGUUUUGACACACUCCCCUUUGCUUUUCUCUCUUCUCUCUGCCGGAAGGUUUAUCAAGUCAUUUAGUUCCAGUACUGAAACACUUAGUAAGCAACUACUUGAUUUUGACGAGGACUUCAGAGCAUUGGUCAUCACUAGGUGCUUGUCGUUUUGUGCUCUGGUUGCACCGUCUCUUGGAUCGGGUGGAGCAAUACCACAUUUUGGCUGUUGAGAGCUCUUGAACUCCGUCAUCCCUGAGAACAACAGAGAGUUGGUUCAGAAUUCAACUUACUGAAAUUUGCCCCAGACAGAACAAAAUCUGGUUUGGUUUGGCUUUUGCCUUCCCGUUGGUCCCUGGGCGUUCAGGUUGGAUGGAUUAGUGUGCACGGCUGUAGGCUUUCUGCUUAACUCGUGAGUUUGCUCUUACAGAUGCUGUGGACCCCCCAUCCCCUUCUCCACGGUCCUCCGCGUUUCUUUGCCUCUAUUCUUCUAUAUUGCAGAUUUUUCUCACUUAUUGUACAAAGAAAUGGCGAUGUAUAUUUUCAUGUAAUUUGAUUUUGGAAUUCUGUCACCUUAUGUAGUGAGUUCUUCCAAAAUAUAAUUUUUUUCCAAUAAUCGUCAAGUUGUUGACUUUUAUUGUAUUGAAUGAAGGUUAUAAUACUGAAUGCCAGAGAAGUGCAGUUUAGAAAAAUCUCAGGUUGAUUCCUUAUGCAAACAGACUUAAUACUUGAAAAUCCCAUGGCCAUGGCAGUGUAUGUACUGGGCUCUAUCUAGGUUCUUAUGUGGGUUUCAAAGCAUUCCAGGGUGUGAAUGCUUUGCUCUCUGAUACAUCGAUUCUGUCACUGACACCGUGCACUUGGAUUUUAUUAAAGUUUGAGCAUAAGUGUACUUCAUAUCAUGUCUUCUAAAGCAGCUUCAGGAAGUGAUGAAGUGACCGUGUGCGGUGUGAACGGCAGGCCCAGGUUCCCCUGUGUUGGGUGUGAGGUUGGGGCUGGGAAGUGUAGUAGUUGGCGGGCAAGGGACAGAAACGGAAGCAGUGCCCAAUGGGACACGGUUCUGUGAGGACCGGCGCUCUCUGGCCCAUGGGGCUCGGAGAGACACUCUGGCAGAGAGUGAAGGGUCCCUACGAGUUGCCCAUCCCUGCGACUCCACAUGUCCUUCUUUCAGCGGAAGUAAAAUGGUUAAGGAUGUAGACGCAGCAGAGAGUGAUUUUUCUGAGUCCGUCUGUUCUGCACUCUGAAGCAUUGUAGGGACCCAUCAAUGCGUAAUGACUGAACGUGGAAAGUGUUUGAUCCCUUGGAGCUGAUUUUCUUCAAGAACUUCAUUUUGUGACUUUUCUUACUCAGAGGCUGUAAAACUUGUUGCCCCAAAGUGCUGGUGCUGCACAGCCUCCUGGGAUCUGAAUGCAGUCCUUUUUACUCUCAAAUCAGAAACUUCACAUGGUUGCAGGAGGCGGAACGGAGUCUGAAUUUUGCUCUCCUCUUGGCUGUGAUCCUGCUCGUGGUCUGUUGGGUUCGAACCUGGGGUUUGAGUCCUCAGGGAGCAGCCAGUGACCUACUCACUCAGGGACAACUCUCACUGAACCCUAAGUGCCACUUUCAUGCAGGUACUUCGGUGUGACCGUGUGUGUUUUGGGGCUAGAUCUAGGGGAGUGGAAGGGCGAGCCAGGAACCAGUGCCCCUCCCUUCGCGCUCCUUUCCACCUGGCGCCCUGGCGUGCUGCAUGUGGACACACGGGCCUCAGGAGGUGGUGUGGCCUGUUCUCUGCCAGGGGCGUCUCCCGUGCCUUUCCCCGUGUUCAUCUGACAGUGAACUUGACACCUCCAUGUUUGAUACUCAACCACUCUCAGGUGGCACUGAUCCAGGUGGCUUUUGUGCCACCAGUGUCUCAUCACUAGUGUGAGGCGAGUCCUCUCUGCUUUAGGAAAGGAUUUUUCUCCCCAACUCUGUGCCAACUAUCAACAACAUCUACACAGUCUUAUGGGUUUUAGAACUGUUGGCUGUUUCUUAAAUUGAUUCCAAGUUCUUGUAAAGGCUUAUAGAUCUCAGUCUGUGCUCAUAAUGGGACGGAUGAUCUCAGUGGCUUUCUGGCCUCUCUUCUGUGAGUUUAAAAUCCACGCAGGAUUGGUUUCCUUGUCAUCACAAGGCAGUCUCUUUGUGAGGCGAUGCCACGAGUUCUCUGAUCACUUGGGUGUCCUGGUAUCUUCAAUGGCCUUCAUUCUCGGGUGUGAAAUUUUAUUCUGUGUGCUCACUCACCCCCUACAGAUCACAUUUUGGGCAGUGUUGCCUGUGUAUCUAUCUUUGCCCGUCUGGUCUCCAGUUGGUGGAACUACCUUCUUUGUACCUGCCACACCGCCCAGCAUCUUUGAAAUUUGACACAAUGUUGCUUCAUUCCAGCUGUUUUUAGUUCUGUAACUCCUUGAUUGUAUUUAACUGUGUGAGUUCUGUUGUGAUGUUUGCUGUAUUGUAAAGCCCCUGCGCCAUGUGGUGGGUGCUCUGUAAAUCAAUAAAUGAUGACUUAGAGGCUGUA